rnacentral:tRNA from 1 species
GAGCGUACAGCUCAAGUGGUAGAGCGCGUGCUUAGCAUGCACGAGGUCCUGGGUUCAAUCCCCAGCACCUUCU